AAAGGCGUGGUCGUUUCCUUCCUCGAGAAGACAGAGAGAGGACGCACGCCACCUCCUCCCCACCUUCGCCAGAUACGACCGCCCAUUCAUCGCCGCCACCCAUCGCGUCGCCCGCCCCCGCCCGCAACCUUCUCUCGUCUUCCACCCAUCCUCGCCGCGCCAUCGCACUCCCGCAAUCCUGUUAGCCUCUCUCCCUGACAUGGCUUCACUUCCCGGUGCGAAACCCUAGCGGCGGCAGCGGCGGCGGCGGCGGCGGCGGAUUGGUGUGGGAGGUGGUUAGACGGCGGCCUCAGGCAGGGGCAUACUGUAGGUGGCUCGACAGUCGCCUGGCAGGCUGUAUAGGCAGCGGAGGUGGAGGUCGUGCGAGGCGGCUCUUCCGCCGAUCCGUUCGUUCGAGUCCUUGGUUGCUGCGUUGACUUUCCUGGCUGCCGCCAUGCUAGCAAGCACGGCCACUGCGACGUCUUCUCUGGUGCUACCGGCAAGCAGCCGACCACAGCACUGCCAUGCCUCCGAUGCUCCAUGGUAGCCGCCCCUACAUCUCCACUCAGAAAGGAAAAUGCUGGAGCCAAUGGAUGUUUAGUGGGACUACGUUCUGAUUUGACAAAGCUAAAGGAAGCAUACAUCACAAAUUUCUAUCGGAAAGAGAAUAUGGGGAUGGUGUUUCAUUCUUGGCCAGCUGCGGUUGCUGGCAGUGGAGGAGCAGCAGCGGCCGAUGGCGGCGGACCAGAUCGGCGUAUCAUGGGAGCGGCCACGACGACCGUCACGAGUGGAGCAGAGCCAAGUUGGCGCGGCGGCCGGGCGCGAUCUGGAGAACCGAUGAGUGUGGUGCGCUAUCGAGGCAGUCGCGACUUGCGCGAGUUGGAGGCGAGGUGACGGUGUUGACUGGGACGCCGUCGCUGAUCCUCAUCGUGCCGGCGGGCGAGGAGCUCGUUGAGGAUCUCCUCUUCUCCAGGGAUCCACGACGGAGGUGCUCGAGGAGGAAGUUCUUCUCGGAUGCCAUGGAAAUUGUCAAGUGAUGAUUUUUGCAGAAGCACAUGCUGAUGGUGCCCUUGCCUUUGGGAUUAAAGAAGACCAGCUUACAACACUGACCAGAGAUCAUAAAUACUCUACUCUGCAGCAGUAUGAAUGGGGCUAGCAAAUAUGUUAAAGACAAAUACAGAGAAGUGGGUCAGGGGAGUGGCUUCCAAUAUUGAUGCGAGAAAAAAAUGCCUUUUGGUCGAACACAUACCCCUAUAAGAAAGGAAGAAGCUCCUUGGUAAUGGAGAUGCUAUGUCAGGCUCUGACUGGCACACAAAACUUUGAAAUGAGCAAAAUCAUCUCAUAUCCAGUGAUUUGCCAUGGUUUAUGAUAGAUUGCUAUGAAGAAUGUCGAGACCCACCACGACUUUACCUUCUCGACAGAUUUGAUAAUGCUGGUGUUGGGACUUGUUUGAAGAGAUAUUCUGAUCCGUCAUACUUCAAGAAAUCAUUGGAUGUGAUGAGAGCAGACAAGACUGCACAUCUCCAAAAAGAAAGGAGAUCUCACAAAAUCAAGGAUUCGCGGUUGAUUUCAGGGGAGAUCACUAUUGUGAGGAAAUCAAGAAGUUGAGAGUUGGCUGGACUAUGUGAGGAAGCGGGUUCAGGAGCUCAAAGCCAACAACAACCAGGGCUUGGCAAAAGAUUCCUUACAAGCACUUAAGAAGAUAUCCCAGGAGUGUCCAACUGCCUGCUUGAGGGCUGACGCACUAAUUGCAGUGCCGUCAUAUCUUGACUUCUUCUCCAUCGGUGUUCAAGAAGCUUCCUUGAGAUGCCUCAGAUUUCGUAAUGGAAGCGGUUCAACUGCUAACAAAUUUUCUCAACUACCAUGAUGCAAAAGUGUUGGAACAUGUUUCCAUUUGCCUGACUCGUAUAGCAGAAUCGUUUGCUUCGUCUUCAAAGAAACUGGAUCAAUUUUGCAAGCAUGGAUUGGUUGCACAAGCGGCUAGCUUAAUAGCUGUUAGCAGCGGGACAAGCAUCACUGAGUACAUUAACAUAUACAUUAUGCUUCUAUUUCACUCUUUAUUGCUACUGUAUCAUUUAUGCAAAUUUGCUAACUCUGGCUCAUAUAUCCUUGAAGGGAGUAAUUCGUGUUUUGUCAAUAUGUGCAGGUGGAUCUCCAUUGGCAGCUAAAAUACUCCAUGGAAUUAGCGGCACACUUAAAGUUAUCCUUGCGGGUGCUGGACGCUGAGGACCAGGAAGUGGUGGAACUGUCAGUCCGUCCACGUUCUAAAGCUGUAUUUGUUUGUAUUUGUGCACACCGUAAAAUAGCUAAGUUGCAGGUUGUUAGGAGUACUGUGCUGCAGUUCCACUUAUAUGGAAAGAGACGAUAUUCAUUUUCA